rnacentral:tRNA from 1 species
GGUGAAGUGGCUGAUAAAAAGCAGUAAAUUGUAAAUUUACGUAUGAAUUCUAUUCCUUCACCA